UCUGUCAAGGGAAUCUACUCUGCUGGGCUUGGUGAUACCGAGGGUGGCGUCUUCCUUCCUCUUCCUUGGCUUUCUCCUGCUGCAAAUCUCUCUCAAGUGCGGACACCCUCCACAGGCUGAUCAUCACAGCAAUGAAGAAGAAUUCGGGAUAUAUGCCAAUUCAAGUAACACACUAGCAAGCAGCGACUGUUAUAAUAACUCCACCAGAGCCUAUGAUGGAGCACUGCAGAACAACAAACACUUUAAAUGAAUUUAAAUAUCCUUUUUUCUGUCAAGCAUGCAGGUAGAUGUUAUAUAAAUAGUACUGCUGAAAGUUCCCGUAUUCCAAUUAAUCAAGUAAAUUUUAUAGAGCUGGUUACUCGAUUUUUUUUUAAUUCAAUGCUUGCCCACAUAUAUUGCAUGCUUCAUAGGUAAAGAUGUUAGACAGAAACAUCCAGUCAGGCUUAUAUUCUCCAGUCUUUGAGGUAUAAAAGAAAAUGUGUGGGCCACAAAAUGCCAUAUCUAAAAUGAUAUUGAGAGGAAGUACUAAUAUAUACAAAGAAAUGGUUAUCCCGGCAUACCUAGUCAAGGGGUUUUACCUAGCUGACCAAGGUUGUUAUCAAGUGACUGAUAUUUAUAGUCCAAGUAUACAAAAUAACGCACUGAACAUUUUGACUGUUUUUUCAUUUUAUUUUUCCAGGCACUUUCCAUUCUUUUGAACCUUCUAGAUUAUCCUGUACCAUAUAAGGGCUUGUAUUCAGUAUUAUUAUUACUUUUGCUGAUAUUAUUAUUAGUUAUUACUAAUUACAGAUAUCUAGGUAAAUUUACAAAUGUUUACAAUGUCCAGACCAUAUACAUUUUAAAACAUUUCCCUAAAUUAGUUCGAUCUUAUAAGUUCUACUAGCUUAAUGAACAUCAACUGCUGAAAAUACAAAAUGCACAGUAUCUUGUUUGGACAUAUCUUAUGGCAUUCUAUUGCAUAGUGUGUACAGGUUCAGAACAUGGUGCUUGCAGGUCUCUGAAAUCGUGAAUGUUGACAGACUUAUUGCUUUGAUUUUUCUAAGGAAUUUGCAAUUACUUCCAGAAAAAAAA